AAGAGUUUGAUCCUGGCUCAGGAUUAACGCUGGCGGCGCGCCUAAUACAUGCAAGUCGAACGGAAACCUUCGGGUUUUAGUGGCGAACGGGUGAGUAACACGUAAGCAACCUGCCUUUAAGACGUGGAUAACAAUUGGAAACAGUUGCUAAGACAGGAUAGGAAAUUAAGAGGCAUCUUUUAAUUUUUAAAAGACCUUUUUCGAAAGGUAUACUUAAAGAGGGGCUUGCGCCACAUUAGUUAGUUGGUAAGGUAAAGGCUUACCAAGACGAUGAUGUGUAGCUGGACUGAGAGGUCGAACAGCCACAUUGGGACUGAGACACGGCCCAAACUCCUACGGGAGGCAGCAGUAAGGAAUUUUUGGCAAUGGAGGAAACUCUGACCGAGCGACGUCGCGUGAACAAUGAAGUACUUCGGUAUGUAAAGUUCUUUUAUUGAAAAAGAAAAAAUAGUGGAAAAACUAUCUUGACAUUAUUCAAUGAAUAAGCCCCGGCUAAUUAUGUGCCAGCAGCCGCGGUAAUACAUAAGGGGCGAGCGUUAUCCGGAAUUAUUGGGCGUAAAGGGUGCGUAGGCGGUUUGAUAAGUCUAUAGUUUAAAUGCAGUGCUUAACGCUGUAGCGCUAUAGAAACUGUCUGACUAGAGUUAGAUAGAGGCAAGCGGAAUUCCAUGUGUAGCGGUAAAAUGCGUAAAUAUAUGGAGGAACACCAGAGGCGUAGGCGGCUUGCUGGGUCUUAACUGACGCUGAGGCACGAAAGCGUGGGGAGCAAACAGGAUUAGAUACCCUGGUAGUCCACGCCGUAAACGAUGAGUACUAAGUGUCGGGUUUCGGCUCGGUACUGAAGUUAACACAUUAAGUACUCCGCCUGAGUAGUACGUACGCAAGUAUGAAACUUAAAGGAAUUGACGGGACCCCGCACAAGCGGUGGAUCAUGUUGUUUAAUUCGAAGAUACACGAAAAACCUUACCAGGUCUUGACAUAAUUUUGCGACAUUAUAGAAAUAUAAUGAAGGUUAUCAGAAUUACAGGUGGUGCAUGGUUGUCGUCAGCUCGUGUCGUGAGAUGUUAGGUUAAGUCCUAAAACGAGCGCAACCCUUGUCGUUAGUUGCGACCACGUAAUGGUGAGCACUUUAGCGAGACUGCCAAUGAAAAAUUGGAGGAAGGUGAGGAUUACGUCAAAUCAUCAUGCCCCUUAUGAUCUGGGCUACAAACGUGAUACAAUGGCUGUUACAAAGAGUAGCUACAACGUGAGUUUUUAGCCAAUCUCAAAAAAACAGUCUCAGUUCGGAUUGAAGUCUGCAACUCGACUUCAUGAAGUUGGAAUCGCUAGUAAUCGCGAAUCAGCAUGUCGCGGUGAAUACGUUCUCGGGGUUUGUACACACCGCCCGUCAAACCACGAAAGUUGAUAAUACCCGAAAGCGGUCGCCUAACUUCGUCAGAAGAGGGAGCCGUCUAAGGUAGGAUCGAUGAUUGGGGUUAAGUCGUAACAAGGUAUCCCUACCGGAAGGUGGGGAUGGAUCACCUCCUUUCU
rnacentral:rRNA from 4 species